GACCAAUUCGAAGAAACGCGUCUACCACCCAAGGAUGCAUUCCACUCAACGCUAACGAACACGGGUAUCAGUGAUGAAGACUAUGCCUAUGCGCAAACAGUAUGGACUGCGUUUGACUGUGAAGAUCUAGGAGACUAUCACGACCUCUACCUGGAGACUGAUGUGCUGCUGUUGGCUGACGUUUUCGAAAACUUCAGAAGAACUGCUCACGCAACCUAUGGAUUGGAUCCCGCUAAUUACCUCACCUUACCGGGAUUUGCCUGGGAUUCGCUGCUGAAAAU